GUUAAGGUGGCAGAGCCCGGUAAGUGCAAAGGACCUAAGUCUCUUCAAUCAGAGGUUCAAAUCCUCUCCUUAAUU
rnacentral:tRNA from 1 species